GAUGAACGCUGGCGGCGUGCCUAAUACAUGCAAGUCGAGCGAACAGACGAGGAGCUUGCUCCUCUGACGUUAGCGGCGGACGGGUGAGUAACACGUGGAUAACCUACCUAUAAGACUGGGAUAACUUCGGGAAACCGGAGCUAAUACCGGAUAAUAUAUUGAACCGCAUGGUUCAAUAGUGAAAGACGGUUUUGCUGCCACUUAUAGAUGGAUCCGCGCCGCAUUAGCUAGUUGGUAAGGUAACGGCUUACCAAGGCAACGAUGCGUAGCCGACCUGAGAGGGGGAUCGGCCACACUGGAACUGAGACACGGGCCAGACUCCUACGGGAGGCAGCAGUAGGGAAUCUUCCGCAAAGGGCGAAAGCCUGACGGAGCAACGCCGCGUGAGUGAUGAAGGUCUUCGGAUCGUAAAACUCUGUUAUUAGGGAAGAACAAAUGUGUAAGUAACUAUGCACGUCUUGACGGUACCUAAUCAGAAAGCCACGGCUAACUACGUG
rnacentral:rRNA from 1 species